AGCAAGUCUGUGCCUGAUUUGGCAGGUUUCUGAGAGGUACCAAGACUUCCUCUCACAGGGCCUCUAAUGGAACAUAACACCCUAGAACCAAGCCAGGGACAAAGCCAAGCCACGUUUUCCAUAUCUGAUGCUGAGCCCAGGAGCCAUCUUUUCUGCCUAAAAAACUGGGACUAGAAUCUUUAAAGUGCUUGUCUAAGGAUUUAAGUUGGUCAAGAGAGACAUGUCAUUCCCAAGACACCUUCUCUAUACACACACACACACACACACAUACUCACCCCAGUAGAACCAUGUUACUAAAAUCUUUCUCUUAUUAUGUCAGUAUUUAUGACUGAUAAUUCUCAUGACAUCCAUUAUGGAAAAAAAAAUCACCUUAGCAAAAGUUUCUCCUUGGGAGUAAUAAGGGCAGUAGACACACAUAUUCAAAUAAGGGCAAGGUGUUUUCACGUGAUAAAGCCAGCACAUGG
rnacentral:lncRNA from 1 species